AGAGUUCUACUCUUAGGAUCCAAAGUGGAUUGAAGAAGUCUCCAAUUGCCCUUAAGAAGCUCUGGGUGGGGAGCCUGAGUGGGAGCAGGAGAGGAACCAUUACCCCAGGUUUGGCGCUGAUGAUCACAGUGGUGUACAGUAGGCAGCUGCAACUGUUCAGGCCCACUUGGAGUUUCUACUGGAAACCCAGUGAUGAAAGAUUUUUGGAAUCAUUUAUUUAUUCCCCAGCCUCACAGAUGAAAUUUUAAAAAAAAAACUCAACUCAUGGGCACACGGGCAAAAAAUUCCCCCAUUCUCAAUUUUAUUUUGAUUCCUCUUUCCUUUAUUGCUUAGAGAAUUCAGCCUGGAGCCAAAGCAAGUGGGAAAAGGUCACCUCAUCCACCAUGUCUUUAGGCAGAACUGAUUCAGCACACACCAACAUAGAAGACUUUUAUUAAAGUUCCCAGCAUGGCGUGCCCUCUCUCUGCCUCUUUGCAUCCUACCCAUCCUUCACCACCUCGCCACUCCAUAAAGCCCUCUCUGAUCACACCAGUCUGCAGCGAUCUCGCCCUGCUCUGAACACAUAAGCGCUCAUUAUCUGCACCACUCAUUUUGCAAUUAAUCGUGUACUGCCUUGUGACAUCGCUUCUAGUGCUUUGUCUGACUGUUAUCCAACUUCUCACCUGCUGACGGAUGGAACCCUUGAUGACAAUAUGAGUGACUGGACAGCAGGAGCUACAGCUCCUACAUCUCUGUGUCCCUAACAUUACCUGGCAGAGGCCUCAACACCAACAUGGAAGACAGCUAGGUAUACUUCAAUUCUACCUCCUCUGAUAAAACUUAUCCCAGGCGUCCGGCUCCCACCUGAGAUUGCAGGAAUCUUCAAGCCUUAACAUAUCUACUGGGCCUCAAGAUGCAGCAGGCCCUCAGAGAGCCAUCGCAACCAUCACAACACUCCUGGAGAGCCCCAGGGAACGUACAUAUCUUCAUUCCACCUACGUUCUUAUGAAGUAGCUUGUCUUCUCCUUCAUUUAAAAAAUGAAGAAACUCUCCACUCUCACUGCUUCAUUUGACUACCCUUUAAAAAAAAAAGGAGAAACUGAGACCUAUAAAUUUUAUCAAAACCCUGAG
rnacentral:lncRNA from 1 species